rnacentral:misc_RNA from 1 species
ACCAGGUAGCAUUCCUUUUUGCUGCCGGCACCGCAUGAGCAAGAGGAAGAUUACUGUCCUCCCGUCAACACAGGGCACGUCAGGCUUCCGUAAGGGACAAUUGAUUCGGGCAAAAAGGGACGAAGUCCCCAACCGAUCAUUGCUUCUACAUACAAGACUUCGGGCAACACAUGAACGUCCAAUGCCUGCUAGCUAAAUAAGCAAAGCAAGGACGGACGACCAUGGGUGCUUCAGGGUCUAGGUCGCACAAAACAUUUAGGCACGAGAUAGAGCAUGGAUCGUGGGACUGGAGAAUUCCGUCAAAAUAGGUAUGCUGCACAGGGGGCCAAGCCAAUCCAAGGUAAAAGAGUUACACUCGAACAAAAUUGAACAGGUGUGAACCAGCGAUUGUCGCUGCCAUGGCAGGGAACCAACCAACCGGAACAUACC